UACGAAGGGUGCUAGCGUUGUUCGGAAUUACUGGGCGUAAAGAGCGCGUAGGCGGUUAUACAAGUCAGAGGUGAAAUCCCAGGGCUCAACCCUGGAACUGCCUUUGAAACUGUAUAGCUGGAGUGUGUGAGGGGAUAGCGGAAUUGCUAAUGUAGAGGUGAAAUUCGUAGAUAUUAGCAGGAACACCGGUGGCGAAGGCGGCUAUCUGGCACACAACUGACGCUGAGGAACGAAAGCUAGGGGAGCAAACAGG
rnacentral:rRNA from 1 species